UGCCUCUCCUAGGCAGUACAUUUACUAAAAAUGAAACGAUACAGAGAAGAUUAGCAUGGCCUCUACGCAAGAAUGAGAAGCAAAAUCGUGAGACGUUCCACAGUUUU
rnacentral:snRNA from 1 species